GUCUCCAUGUUUGCAAGAGAGAGAAUUCUAUCUUCCAUCUGUUUACACUCCCGCUAUCUUACAGCCCCUCACACCCCCCACCUAACAUUCGCAUUGCAAGAAUAAUGGUGAGCAAUAUUGGUGCUGUGUAGUUGUACAAUUUUGAGCUGCAAGCCAUUUCAGACGAGGAAAACAAAGACAUACAUGGAUCUAGUCGUCUACAAGUUGAUUUAUCAGAAUAAAGAUGAGCAGAUUGAGCAGAGAUUGUGGCCCGUCUCUUGUAGCUUUUUGUCUACUCCCCCUUUACAACUAUUAAAAUAAGGAAAUCCUCAGAAACACAAUUUUAACCUUAAUUUUCUUUAUAUAUGCUAUAGAUAAGAAAAUGAAAAAAAAAAAAACACCAAAAACAGGAUUUUCAUGGGAGUGGGUCUUUAAUGCUGAGGUUUUUUUUACAGUAUCAUCGAAAAGAAACCCAUCUUCAGAAAACAACCUGAUCUCCUCGCUGUGGCUCCCGUUGGGUCUUUCUCUUCUAGCUGUGGUCAUCCUGAUGGUUCUAUGUGUGGUCAUCAGAAGAGUGUGCCUCAGAAACAGAGUGUGAGUGAAGAUGUGAAAAGAUUCCAGCCAAAAUAAGAACCCAUCUAUGUGAACACCAACUUGAAGCCCUCCCCUCGGUCUGCGCCCCAGCGUGAUCAGCUGAAGUUGGCCGAGCCCUAUCAGAACAUGCGUACUCCUAGCCCCACCAGGAGUAACAAAGUGAGGACAGACAGACCCAGACCCUGACCAAACUGGGGGUGAACAGGAUAAUCCUCCCUCCCUGUCCUUAUUUCAUCUGCUUCCAUCUGUUUCACUUUCUUUUACUUUAUUUUUUGUAAAGAUAUAUAUAUAUACACAUCAAAUAUAAUGUAAAAGCAGUUUUUAUAAAAGAUAUUUAAAAUGUUACAUUCAGGCUCCUCAGUUUUUAUCAUGUGCCACUAGAUGGCGAUUGAUGUUGCUUUUAGAAAGCAUUUUGCUUGUAAACCUCACAAGUACUUUUUUUUUAAUUUUGCAACUGUUUAA